UAGGGAAUCUUCGGCAAUGGGGGGAACCCUGACCGAGCAACGCCGCGUGAGUGAAGAAGGUUUUCGGAUCGUAAAGCUCUGUUGUUAAGGAAGAACGAGUGUGAGAAUGGAAAGUUCAUACUGUGACGGUACUUAACCAGAAAGGGACGGCUAACUACGUGCCAGCAGCCGUGGUAAUACGUAGGUCCCGAGCGUUGUCCGGAUUUAUUGGGCGUAAAGCGAGCGCAGGCGGUUAGAUAAGUCUGAAGUUAAAGGCAGUGGCUCAACCAUUGUAGGCUUUGGAAACUGUUUAACUUGAGUGCAGAAGGGGAGAGUGGAAUUCCAUGUGUAGCGGUGAAAUGCGUAGAUAUAUGGAGGAACACCGGUGGCGAAAGCGGCUCUCUGGUCUGUAACUGACGCUGAGGCUCGAAAGCGUGGGGAGCGAACAGGAUUAGAUACCCUGGUAGUCCACGCCGUAAACGAUGAGUGCUAGGUGUUAGGUCCUUUCCGGGACUUAGUGCCGCAGCUAACGCAUUAAGCACUCCGCCUGGGGAGUACGACCGCAAGGUUG
rnacentral:rRNA from 1 species